rnacentral:rRNA from 1 species
GACGAACGCUGGCGGCGUGCCUAAUACAUGCAAGUAGAACGCUGAAGGAAGGAGCUUGCUCUUUCUGGAUGAGUUGCGAACGGGUGAGUAACGCGUAGGUAACCUGCCUGGUAGCGGGGGAUAACUAUUGGAAACGAUAGCUAAUACCGCAUAAAAUUGAUUAUUGCAUGAUAGUCAAUUAAAAGGUGCAACUGCACCACUACCAGAUGGACCUGCGUUGUAUUAGCUAGUUGGUGGGGUAACGGCUCACCAAGGCGACGAUACAUAGCCGACCUGAGAGGGUGAUCGGCCACACUGGGACUGAGACACGGCCCAGACUCCUACGGGAGGCAGCAGUAGGGAAUCUUCGGCAAAGGACGGAAGUCUGACCGAGCAACGCCGCGUGAGUGAAGAAGGUUUUCGGAUCGUAAAGCUCUGUUGUAAGAGAAGAACGAGUGUGAGAGUGGAAAGUUCACACUGUGACGGUAUCUUACCAGAAAGGGACGGCUAACUACGU